GGCGACGGGUGAGUAAUACUUAGGAAUCUGCCCAUUAGUGGGGGACAACUCGAGGAAACUCGAGCUAAUACCGCAUACGCCCUACGGGGGAAAGCGGAGGACCUUUCGGGGCUUCGCGCUAAUGGAUGAGCCUAAGUCGGAUUAGCUUGUUGGUGAGGUAAAGGCUCACCAAGGCGACGAUCCGUAGCUGGUCUGAGAGGACGAUCAGCCACACUGGGACUGAGACACGGCCCAG
rnacentral:rRNA from 1 species